CCGCGUGCAGGAUGAAGGCCUUCGGGUUGUAAACUGCUUUUGUACGGAACGAAACGGCCUUUUCUAAUAAAGAGGGCUAAUGACGGUACCGUAAGAAUAAGCACCGGCUAACUACGUGCCAGCAGCCGCGGUAAUACGUAGGGUGCAAGCGUUAAUCGGAAUUACUGGGCGUAAAGCGUGCGCAGGCGGUAAUGUAAGACAGUUGUGAAAUCCCCGGGCUCAACCUGGGAACUGCAUCUGUGACUGCAUUGCUGGAGUACGGCAGAGGGGGAUGGAAUUCCGCGUGUAGCAGUGAAAUGCGUAGAUAUGCGGAGGAACACCGAUGGCGAAGGCAAUCCCCUGGGCCUGUACUGACGCUCAUGCACGAAAGCGUGGGGAGCAAACAGGAUUAGAUACCCUGGUAGUCCACGCCCUAAACGAUGUCAACUGGUUGUUGGGAAUUCACUUUCUCAGUAACGAAGCUAACGCGUGAAGUUGACCGCCUGGGGAGUACGGCCGCAAGGUUGAAACUCA
rnacentral:rRNA from 1 species